GUGCCUCCCCCCCCCCCCCCCCCCCCCCCCCCCCCCCCCCCCCUUUCUCCCCCCCUCCCCCUCCCCCCCCCCCCCCCCCCCCCCCCACCCCCCACACCCACCCCCACCCGCCCACCCCCCCCCCCCCCCCCCCCCCCCCCCCCCCCCCCCCCCCCCCCCCCCCCCCCCCCCCCCCCCCCCCCCCCCCCCCCCCCCCCCCCCCCCCCCCCCCCCCCCCCCCCCCCCCCCCCCCCCCCCCCCCCACACUCACACACACACACACACACACACACACACACACACACACACACACACACACACACACACACACACACACACACACACACACACAGAGGCACACACUGCCGCACACUGCCUGCACCUCCACCCCAC
rnacentral:lncRNA from 1 species